GGCGAUCAGAUACCGCCCUAGUUCUGACCGUAAACGAUGCCAACUAGCGAUCCGCCAGUCGACUCAUCGCUCUGGUGGGGAGCUUCCCGGAAACGAAAGUCUUCCGGUUCCGGGGGAAGUAUGGUUGCAAAGCUGAAACUUAAAGGAAUUGACGGAAGGGCACCACCAGGAGUGGAGCCUGCGGCUUAAUUUGACUCAACACGGGGAAACUCACCCGGCCCGGACACCGUAAGGAUUGACAGAUUGAUAGCUUUUUCAUGAUUCGGUGGAUGGUGGUGCAUGGCCGUUCUUAGUUCGUGGAGCGAUUUGUCUGGUUUAUUCCGAUAACGAGCGAGACUCUGGCCUACUAAAUAGUUGACGCAUUGCCACUGUGCGCACAACUUCUUAGAGGGAUUUUCGGUGUUUUCAACCGCACGAAAUUGAGCAAUAACAGGUCUGUGAUGCCCUUAGAUGUCCGGGGCUGCGCGCGCGCUACACUGGCAAACGCAACGUGCCUGUCCUGCCCGGAAAGGAGCGGGUAAACCCCUGAAAUUUUGCCGUGAUUGGGAUCGGACAUUGCAACUAUUGUCCGUGAACGAGGAAUUCCUUGUAGGGGCGAGUCAUCAACUCGUCCCGAAUACGUCCCUGCCCUUGUA
rnacentral:rRNA from 1 species